rnacentral:rRNA from 1 species
GAACUUGCCUCUUGGUCUGGGACAACUGUUGGAAACGACAGCUAAUACCGGAUAUUAUGAGAUUCUCGCAUGGGAAACUUAUGAAAGCUAUAUGCGCCAAGAGAGAGCCUUGCGUUCCAUUAGCUAGUUGGUGGGGUAACGGCCCACCAAGGCGACGAUGGAUAGCCGGCCUGAGAGGGUGAACGGCCACAAGGGGACUGAGACACGGCCCUUACUCCUACGGGAGGCAGCAGUGGGGAAUAUUGGACAAUGGGCCACAAGCCUGAUCCAGCAAUUCUGUGUGCACGAUGAAGGUCUUCGGAUUGUAAAGUGCUUUCAGUUGGGAAGAAGAAAGUGACGGUACCAACAGAAGAAGCGACGGCUAAAUACGUGCCAGCAGCCGCGGUAAUACGUAUGUCGCAAGCGUUAUCCGGAUUUAUUGGGCGUAAAGCGCGUCUAGGCGGAAAAAUAAGUCUGAUGUUAAAAUGCGGGGCUCAACUCCGUAUUGCGUUGGAAACUGUUUUUCUAGAGUACUGGAGAGGUGGGCGGAACUACAAGUGUAGAGGUGAAAUUCGUAGAUAUUUGUAGGAAUGCCGAUGGAGAAGUCAGCUCACUGGACAGAUACUGACGCUGAAGCGCGAAAGCGUGGGGAGCAAACA